rnacentral:rRNA from 1 species
GAUGAACGCUGGCGGCGUGCCUAAUACAUGCAAGUCGAGCGAAUGGAUUAAGAGCUUGCUCUUAUGAAGUUAGCGGCGGACGGGUGAGUAACACGUGGGUAACCUGCCCAUAAGACUGGGAUAACGCCGGGAAACCGGGGCUAAUACCGGAUAACAUUUUGAACCGCAUGGUGCGAAAUUGAAAGGCGGCUUCGGCUGUCACUUAUGGAUGGACCCGCGUCGCAUUAGCUAGUUGGUGAGGUAACGGCUCACCAAGGCAACGAUGCGUAGCCGACCUGAGAGGGUGAUCGGCCACACUGGGACUGAGACACGGCCCAGACUCCUACGGGAGGCAGCAGUAGGGAAUCUUCCGCAAUGGACGAAAGUCUGACGGAGCAACGCCGCGUGAGUGAUGAAGGCUUUCGGGUCGUAAAACUCUGUUGUUAGGGAAGAACAAGUGCUAGUUGAAUAAGCUGGCACCUUGACGGUACCUAACCAGAAAGCCACGGCUAACUACGUGCCAGCAGCCGCAGUAA